rnacentral:rRNA from 1 species
GUAGGUGGCAAGCGUUGUCCGGAAUUAUUGGGCGUAAAGCGCGCGCAGGCGGUUCUUUAAGUCUGAUGUGAAAGCCCACGGCUCAACCGUGGAGGGUCAUUGGAAACUGGAGAACUUGAGUACAGAAGAGGAAAGCGGAAUUCCACGUGUAGCGGUGAAAUGCGUAGAGAUGUGGAGGAACACCAGUGGCGAAGGCGGCUUUCUGGUCUGUAACUGACGCUGAGGCGCAAAAGCGUGGGGAGCAAACAGGGAUUAGAUACCCUGGUAGUCCACGCCGUAAACGAUGAGUGCUAAGUGUUAGGGGGGGUUUCCGCCCCCUUAGUGCUGCAGCUAACGCAUUAGGCACUCCGCCUGGGGAUACGACCGCAAGGUUG